GUGCACCAGGCGCGAAACCUCCGCAAUGCGGGAAACCGCGACGGGGGACCCCGAGUGCCGUGGCAACGCCACGGCUUUUCCGGAGUGUAAAAAGCUCCGGGAAUAAGGGCUGGGCAAGGCCGGUGGCAGCCGCCGCGGUAAUACCGGCGGCCCGAGUGGUGGCCGCUAUUAUUGGGCCUAAAGCGUCCGUAGCCGGGCCCGUAAGUCCCUGGCGAAAUCCCACGGCUCAACCGUGGGGCUUGCUGGGGAUACUGCGGGUCUUGGGACCGGGAGAGGCGGGGGGUACCCCUGGGGUAGGGGUGAAAUCCUAUAAUCCCAGGGGGACCGCCAGUGGCGAAGGCGCCCCGCUGGAACGGGUCCGACGGUGAGGGACGAAGGCCAGGGGAGCAAAACCGGAUUAGAUACCCGUGUAGU
rnacentral:rRNA from 1 species